GACGAACCGUGCGAACGUUAUUCGGAAUCACUGGGCUUAAAGCGCGUGUAGGCGGGAGGGCACGUCCGCAGCUGAAAGCCCCCGGCUCAACCGGGGAACGGGCGCGGAUACGACCUUCCUCGAGGGGCGUAGGGGGACCUGGAACUUCCGGUGGAGCGGUGAAAUGCGUUGAGAUCGGAAGGAACGCCCGUGGCGAAAGCGAGGUCCUGGACGCCUGCUGACGCUGAGACGCGAAAGCCAGGGGAGCGAACGGG
rnacentral:rRNA from 1 species